CCCCGCUGUUUAUCAAAAACAUUUCCUUUAGCAAAAUUUUAAAGGUAAAUUCUGCCCUAUGAUUAUUUAAAUGGCUGCAGUAUUUUGACUGUGCAAAGGUAGCAUAAUAAUUAGUCUUUUAAUUGAAGGCUGGUAUGAAUGAAUAGAUGAGGGAUUUAUUUUAUUUUUUUUAAUUUUUGAAUUUGAUUUUUAAGUAAAAAAGCUUAAUUAUUUUUUUGGGACGAUAAGACCCUAUAGAACUUUAAUUUUAUUAUUUUUCAUUUUUUUUUUAGUUUAUUAAUUUUUUGAUUAUAAUACUAUUUUCUCUGGGGCGGAUAAUAAAUUUGACUUUAUUUUUUCUUUUCAUUUUAUAUAUGUAAUUUUGAUCCAAUCAUGAUUAUAAGAUAAAGUUACCUUAGGGAUAACAGCGUUAUUUUAAUGGGGAGUUCAUAUUUAUAUUAAAGUUUGCGACCUCGAUGUUGAAUUAAGAUUAGAUUGGGGGGCAGGUUUUUCAUUUCUAAGUCUGUUCGACUUUUAAAUUCUUACGUGAUCUGAGUUCAA
rnacentral:rRNA from 1 species